UGCAUGUCUAAGUAUAAGCUUUAUACUGUGAAACUGCGAAUGGCUCAUUAAAUCNNUUAUAGUUUAUUUGAUGGUGUUUCUUACUCGGAUAACCGUAGGAAAACUAGAGCUAAUACGUGCGUAAAUCCCGACUUCGGAAGGGACGUAUUUAUUAGAUAAGAGGCCGACCGGGCUUGUCCCGACCUUCGGUGAAUCAUGAUAACUUCACGAAUCGCACGGUCCUGAACCGGCGAUGUUUCAUUCAAAUUUCUGCCCUAUCAACUUUCGACGGUAGGGUAGUGGCCUACCGUGGUGGUAACGGGUGACGGAGGAUUAGGGUUCGAUUCCGGAGAGGGAGCCUGAGAAACGGCUACCACAUCCAAGGAAGGCAGCAGGCGCGCAAAUUACCCAAAUCCCAACUCGGGGAGGUAGUGACAAGAAAUAACGAUGCUCCGGCCUCUGGUCGGGUAAUCGGAAUGAGAACAAUUUAAAUCCCUUAUCGAGGAUCAAUUGGAGGGCAAGUCUGGUGCCAGCAGCCGCGGUAAUUCCAGCUCCAAUAGCGUAUAUUUAAGUUGCUGCGGUUAAAAAGCUCGUAGUCGGAUUUCGGGUGGGCGCCUACCGGUCCGCCUUUGGUGAGUACUGGUAGGUACCACCUUUCUGCCGAGGACGGGGUUCUGGGCUUAGUUGUCUGGGCCCCGGAGUCGGCGAUGUCACUUUGAGUAAAUUAGGGUGUUCAAAGCAGGCUUAUGCUCUGUAUACACUAGCAUGGGAUGACACGAUAGGACUUCGGCUUAUCUUGUCGGUCUGUAGGUCGGAGUAAUGAUAAAGAGGGACAGUCGGGGGCAUUCGUAUUUCGUAGUCAGAGGUGAAAUUCUUGGAUUUACGGAAGACGAACUUCUGCGAAAGCAUUUGCCAAGGAUGUUUUCAUUGAUCAAGAACGAAAGUCGGGGGCUCGAAGACGAUUAGAUACCGUCGUAGUCUCGACCAUAAACGAUGCCGACUAGGGAUCGGAGGNGGUUUUUUUAUGACCUCUCCGGCACCUUACGAGAAAUCAAAGNUUCUG
rnacentral:rRNA from 1 species